UAACGCGAAGAACCUUACCAAGUCUUGACAUCCUUUGACCACUCUAGAGAUAGAGCUUUCCCUUCGGGGACAAAGUGACAGAUGGUGCAUGGUUGUCGUCAGCUCGUGUCGUGAGAUGUUGGGUUAAGUCCCGCAACGAGCGCAACCCUUAUUACUAGUUGCCAGCAUUUAGUUGGGCACUCUAGUGAGACUGCCGGUGACAAACCGGAGGAAGGUGGGGACGACGUCAAAUCAUCAUGCCCCUUAUGACCUGGGCUACACACGUGCUACAAUGGAUGGUACAGCGAGUUGCGAGACCGCGAGGUUUAGCUAAUCUCUUAAAACCAUUCUCAGUUCGGAUUGUAGGCUGCAACUCGCCUACAUGAAGCCGGAAUCGCUAGUAAUCGUGGAUCAGAAUGCCACGGUGAAUACGUUCCCGGGCCUUGUACACACCG
rnacentral:rRNA from 1 species